CCUGAACGCUGGCGGCGUGGCUAAGACAUGCAAGUCGUACGGGUGCAGCAAUGCACCAGUGGCGGACGGGUGAGUAAAGUAUCGCUAACGUGCCCUCCAGUCCGGGAUAGCCGAGGGAAACUUCGGGUAAUACCGGGUGACAUCACUCCAAGGCAUCUUGGGGUGCUCAAAGGGAAACCGCUGGAGGAGCGGGCGAUAUCGUAUCAGCUAGUUGGUGGGGUAACGGCCCACCAAGGCGACGACGCGUAGCCGGACUGAGAGGUUGGCCGGCCACAUUGGGACUGAGACACUGCCCAGACUCCUACGGGGGGCUGCAGUAACGAAUCUUCCGCAAUAGCACGCAAGUGUGACGGAGCGACGCCGCGUGUGGGACGAAG
rnacentral:rRNA from 1 species